UACGUAGGGUGCAAGCGUUGUCCGGAAUUAUUGGGCGUAAAGGGCUCGUAGGUGGUUCGUCACGUCGGGAGUGAAAUCCUGGGGCUUAACCCCAGAACUGCUUCCGAUACGGGCAGACUAGAGGGAGGUAGGGGAGAAUGGAAUUCCUGGUGUAGCGGUGGAAUGCGCAGAUAUCAGGAGGAACACCAGUGGCGAAGGCGGUUCUCUGGGCCGUACCUGACGCUGAGGAGCGAAAGCGUGGGGAGCAAACAGG
rnacentral:rRNA from 1 species